rnacentral:misc_RNA from 1 species
GAUGAAGAACGUAGUGAAACGCGAUAAGUAAUGUGAAUUGCAGAAUCCAGUGAAUCAUCGAAUCUUUGAACGCACAUUGCGCCCGCCAGCAUUCUGGCGGGCAUGCCUGUUCGAGCGUCAUUUCAACCCUCGACCUCCCCUUGGGGAGGUCGGCGUUGGGGACCGGCAGCACACCGCCGGCCCUGAAAUGGAGUGGCGGCCCGUCCGCGGCGACCUCUGCGCAGUAAUACAGCUCGCACCGGGACCCCGACGCGGCCACGCCGUAAAACACCCAACUUCUGAACCUUGACCUCGAAUCAGGUAGGACUACCCGCUGAACUUAAGCAUAUCAAUAAGCGGAGGA